rnacentral:lncRNA from 1 species
CUCCUUCCGGCCGGCACGCCCCGGACGUGACCUCGCGGGCGCGCGCCGGAGCCGCCCUGGGGGAGGAGCCCGCACCCCUCGAGCAGUAGCCUCGCUUUCCCUGAUGAAACUCUAGUACUGCCUCAUGUCCCUGACCCCUGACCUCCGAGCCCCCCUGCCCCCAAUAUCUGUCCUAGGGCCCCAGCCGUGCAGCCUCAGUAUUUCUUUGCACCUUUUUCUCUUUUCUUCCACCCGGCUCCCCCCAGGCACAUUCACUUCCGGCAUCAUCUCUGCUGUCCGUCUGUCCUCCAUCCUUCCGUCGUGAAGGGCCCGCCCACUUUCUGAGAGACAGACGCGGAGCCCAUGGGCAUCAGCUGAAAGGGCAGAUCCCGCUCGGGGCCAGCCUGUCUGUCACCUGCUCAGAGACGGCCCGGCUUGCCGCCAUCUAUGUCCGGGGCCACCUGGCCUUGGGCCAGUGUUCCCGCCUGGAGUCAUGCUUCAGACCCUGGUUUCGCCCUCAUGUCAAAGCUGGUGACAACAGUCCAAUCUUACAGAGUUCUCAUGAGAACCGAUGUCAGGUGCCCUCAUCUCUAGAAGUCCUUGCCCAGAAGACUGCUUGAGCUGUCUUGUCCCGUUUAGUCCUGAAAACCACCCUGUCAGGUAGAAAGUCACUGUCCAGCCCAUUUUGUAGAUGAAACCAGGGAGGCUCAGAGAAGUCAAGUCAUUGGCCCCAGGGCACACAGCUAUAAGGCAGCAGAGGCGAGGUUCAAGUGCACACCAGUUCACUCCAGAGCCUAAGCUUCUCACCGCUCUUCCCUUCUGGGUCCUCUUUCUUCGUGUCCUGUUCACUCAUUCGGCCACUGUCUAUGGUGCGCCUGCUUUCUGGGGCCGCGGUGGUGGCAGAUGAGGCCCUGCCCUGUCUGUGGAGAUGUACAGGAUCUCCUGUGGGCAACUGCUGUCUGCCCUGGGGGCUCAGGCCAGGCCAGCCCCUCCCCAUCUGGCUUCCCCACUGCUCCUUGAACCUAAAGGCCUGUGGGGUGCUGCAGUGGAUGUGAAAGAGGAAGCAGGUCACAGCAGGACCGCUGUGGGCAUCGGGAUCCUCGGGGGGGUGGGGGCAGUGCAGGCAUGAAAGGAAUGGGGUGCAGCCGGGUACCCCAGCCAGGCACCACUUCAUCCCCAGCAGAUGGCUGUCCCAAAAAAGAGGGGCAGUGACAAGUGUCUGGGGGGGGAGGAAUGGGAGCCCCUCCCACUGCUGGUGGGCAUGUCAGAUGGUGCUGGCAGUCCUUCAGCACGGGGUCACCAUGUGCCCUGGCGAUUCCACUCCUAGGUAUGCACCCAAGGGAAAGGAAAACACAUCCACAUGUGGAGUCCUGCUGUGGCACAAUGGGAUUGGCAGUGUCUCCAGAGUACAGGUUCGAUCCCUGGCCUGGCCCAGUACGUUAAGGAUCUGGGCAGCUCUGGCGUAGGUCACAACUAUGGCUCAGGUCUGCUCCCUGGCCCGGGAACUCCAUAUGCCACAGAGCAGCCAAAAAAACAACAAGCAAAUAAAACAUGUCCAUGCAAAAACUCAUCCUCAGACGUUCACAGCAGCAUUAUUCCUAACAGUCAAAAGAGAGAAACAACCAAAAUGUCCAUCAGCAAAUGUGUGGAUAAACAAACGGUGGUCUGUCCACACCAUGAAAUAUUACUCAGCCAUGAAAAGGAAUGAAGUCCUGACGUGGCCACAACGUGGAUACAUUUUGCAGACAUGGUGCUCAUUGAAAGAAGCCAGACACAAAAGGCCACGUAUUGCAUGGUUCCACUUCUAUAAAAUGUUCAGAAUAGGCAGAUCUAUAGACAAAGUAGAUGACUGGUUGCCAGGGACUGGAGGUGGGGGUUUGAGGGAAAACUGGGAAGCAGUGCAGGGUUUCUUUUGGGGUGAUAAAAAUAUUCUGAAAUUGAUGGUGGUGAUGGUUGCACUACAUUGAAAUACUGAAAACCUUUGAAUUGUAUAUUCUUUCUUUCUUUCUUUCUUUCUUUCUUUCUUUCCCUCCCUCCCUCCCUCCCUCCCUCCUUCCUUCCUUCCUUCCUUCUUUCUUUCUUUUUGGUCUUUUUUGGGUCACACCCACGGCAUAUGGAAGUUCCCAGGCCAGGGGUUGAAUCAGAGCUCUACCUGCCAGCCUACGUGCCACAGCCACAGCAACGCCAGAUCUGAGCUGAGUCUGCGACCUACACUGCAGCUGAUGGCAAUGUCGGAUCCUUAACCUACUGAGUGAAGGAAGGGAUUGAACCCGAGUCCUCAUGGAUACCAGUCCGGUUCGUUACCUCUGAGCCACAAUGGGAAAUGCAUUUUUUUUUCUUUUUUCUUUGGCCACACCCGCGGCAUGCAAAAGUUCCUGGGCCAGGGCUCGAACCCACAACACAUCAGUGACUGAGCCAUAGCAAGCAGUGGCAACACUGGAUCCUUCAUCUGCUUAGCCAUCAGGGAACUCCAAAUUGUAUACUUUAAAAUGGUACAUUGUAGGAGUUCCUGCCGUGGAGCAACAGAAUCAGUGGCAUCUCCGCAGCAUCAGGAUGCAGGUUCCAUCCCCAGCCCAGCACAGUGAGUUAAGGGUCCAGAGUUCCCCAAGCUGUGGCAUAGGUCAGAUCUGAUCCCUGGCCUGGGAACUCCAUAUGCCAAGGGGCGGCCAAAAAAGAAAAGAAAAAAGGAAAAUUGUAUACUGUGUGAAUUAUAUCUGAAUAAAACUUUUAUUAAAAAGUAUUAGGGCGUUCCCGUUGUGGCGCAGUGGUUAACAAAUCCGACUAGGAACCAUGAGGUUGCGGGUUCAGUCCCUGCCCUUGCUCAGUGGGUUAACGAUCUGGCGUUGCCGUGAGCUGAGGUGUAGGCUGCAGACUUGGCUCGGAUCCUGCGUUGCUGUGGCUCUGGCGUAGGCUGGCAGCUACAGCUCCGAUUAGAUCGCUAGCCUGGGAACCUCCAUAUGCCGUGGGAGCGGCCCAAGAAAUGGCAAAAAGACAAAAAAAAUAUUAGUAGGCCAGCGGCUACAGCUCCAAUUGGACCCCUCGCCUGGGAACCUCCAUAUGCCACAGGUACAGCCCUAGAAAGACAAAAUAUAUGUAUAUGUAUUUCUGAAGCCCAAGGAUUCAGAAACUGGCUGAGUGAUGGGACAUUCUUUGGGGUCACUUUGCUGUGGUUCUCAUGAUGGCUGAGAAGUGAUUCUGUAGAUAAGGUCUUCCUUCAUCCGUCAGUUAACCCCUCGGAGAGGCCCCACCCCCACGACCCUUCCUGUGUCACUUGUCCUCGGUGUCAGCCCCUUCUUUCCUUCCUUUAGAGCUGUUCCCACACUUGGAAUUGUAUUCUGUCCGUGGACCUGAUUUUUGUCUCAUUCUCGUGCUGGGCCAAGUUCCAUGAGGUCGGGGGGGCUUGUCUCUGUCUUGUUUGCCAUAUAGUAGGUGCUCUGUAAAUACCUGCUGUGCAAAUGGGCCACAUCACAACUGGGGGCGACUGGCCGGGGUCUGCGCUCGCUGCAGGGAGAGAGCCGGCAGGGUGGAUCAGGGUGUCUCCCGGCCCCAGUGGCUUUCUUUUCCUCUGUUCCAGUUCCAGGAGAAUGCCUCUGGAAAGGAAGCCCAAAGCCUGGUCUGGCUGGGAGGAGGCGAGCGGGGAGGGGCGCCGAGUGGGAGUGGGGGCCGGCGGGCCUGGGGAGGAAGUCUGCAGCCCCAGGCUGCCGAGGGUGCGGUGGCUGUGUUUGCACCUUUGGAAUGUGGCUGAUUCACUCUGGGGGGAGCCACGCAGCCACCGCUGCUGCCUUGGAUCCGACAUCUGGAGGCCGAAUUCCAGGAGGAGAGAGACAGAUCCUUGCACGCAGAUGCCAACUUGGAAGGUCGAACUGAGCGACGGAGCUGAGGAGGAGGAGGCUGAAAGGGUCGCGCACCGCCCCCCAGGAUUCUGGGAGAGGAGUGCCCCCUUCCCCAGCCUUGUCCCAGCCCCUGAGGGGACAGUGUCGGGGAGGCAGACUGAGCUCUGCAGACAGACCUUCAAAGACCAGUUGGUUAACAGCUGGUGCUAAGUGCCAAGGCCAGAGGCUGAGCUGGUCCAGUGUCUGCCGUGGCCCCGGGACACUGGCUUGCAUCUCCUUGCCCAGUGUCCUCUGUGUGGCUUUCCCCUCCAGCCAUUGCUCCCCAAGGCCCUUGAACUCCCAGCGUGCCUCUCCCUGGGGCUCCAACAAGACCCUAGGCUUGGGAGUUUUGUGGCGUGGUGGAAAUAAAUCCAGCUAGCAUCCAUGAGGUUGUGGGUUCGAUCCCUGGCCUUGCUCAGUGGGUUAAAGAUCUGGCAUUGCAGUGAGCUGUGGUGUCACAGGCCCAGCUCGGAAACUGCAACAGCUCCAAUUAGACCCCCAGCCUGGGAACCUCCAUUUGCCGCCGAGGGUGCUGCCCUAAAAAGACAAAAGACAAAAGACAAAAAAAAAAAAAAAAAAAAAA